rnacentral:rRNA from 1 species
CUACGGGAGGCUGCAGUGGGGAAUAUUGCACAAUGGAGGAAACUCUGAUGCAGCAACGCCGCGUGGAGGAUGACACUUUUCGGAGCGUAAACUCCUUUUAUAUAGGAAGAUAAUGACGGUACUAUAUGAAUAAGCACCGGCUAACUCCGUGCCAGCGGCCGCGGUAAUACGGAGGGUGCAAGCGUUACUCGGAAUCACUGGGCGUAAAGAGCGUGUAGGCGGGUUAAUAAGUCAGAAGUGAAAUCCUAUGGCUCAACCAUAGAACUGCUUUUGAAACUGUUAACCUAGAAUAUGGGAGAGGUAGAUGGAAUUUCUGGUGUAGGGGUAAAAUCCGUAGAGAUCAGAAGGAAUACCGAUUGCGAAGGCGAUCUACUGGAACAUUAUUGACGCUGAGACGCGAAAGCGUGGGGAGCAAACAGGAUUAGAUACCCUUGUAGUC